rnacentral:rRNA from 1 species
AUUGAACGCUGGCGGCAUGCCUUACACAUGCAAGUCGAACGGUAACGGGUCCUUCGGGAUGCCGACGAGUGGCGAACGGGUGAGUAAUAUAUCGGAACGUGCCCAGUAGUGGGGGAUAACUGCUCGAAAGAGCAGCUAAUACCGCAUACGACCUGAGGGUGAAAGGGGGGGAUCGCAAGACCUCUCGCUAUUGGAGCGGCCGAUAUCAGAUUAGCUAGUUGGUGGGGUAAAGGCCUACCAAGGCAACGAUCUGUAGUUGGUCUGAGAGGACGACCAGCCACACUGGGACUGAGACACGGCCCAGACGCCUACGGGAGGCAGCAGUGGGGAAUUUUGGACAAUGGGCGCAAGCCUGAUCCAGCAAUGCCGCGUGCAGGAAGAAGGCCUUCGGGUUGUAAACUGCUUUUGUCAGGGAAGAAAUCUUCUGGGCUAAUACCCCGGGAGGAUGACGGUACCUGAAGAAUAAGCACCGGCUAACUACGUGCCAGCCGCCGCGGUAAAAC